UACGUAGGGUGCAAGCGUUAAUCGGAAUUACUGGGCGUAAAGCGUGCGCAGGCGGUUUUGUGAGUCAGGUGUGAAAUCCCCGGGCUUAACCUGGGAACUGCAUUUGUGACUGCAUAGCUAGAGUACGGUAGAGGGGGAUGGAAUUCCGCGUGUAGCAGUGAAAUGCGUAGAUAUGCGGAGGAACACCGAUGGCGAAGGCAAUCCCCUGGACCUGUACUGACGCUCAUGCACGAAAGCGUGGGGAGCAAACAGG
rnacentral:rRNA from 1 species